GCUCAGGGAAAUAGUAUUAAGUCCUACUAACUUUUCUGCCACACAUAAAGCUGUGAGUUCAGGGACUGGUGGAUGAGAAUGAUGUUAAAACUCAUCAAUAUUUUACAGGGAAUUCCUGGCUUGAACACAACAGAGUAAAACCUGUGCCUGUGAGGAGCAUGCAUGUGAGUGCAACAUGGUAAUGGGCAAAUGUAAGGCCAUGACACAGUUCUUAUGUGAACCAACUCGCUCUGGCAGGGCUGGAAACCCCUCGUGGUGCUCAGGAGUGACCACCCAUGCUGCUGCCUUGUGCUCUGCCUUCAGCUUUGCUCUCAUGCAGUUCAGGUACCGCUUCUGCUGUCGAGCUCUUUGCAACUCGAGGUAAUGCAGUCAAUUAACUUUGAACAGAUGAAUGGGGAAGAAAAUGAACAUUUGCAGACACAUCCUCCACUUGCUGCUCUUCAAAAGGAAUCAAAACCCAACAGUAUUAUUGACCUGUGAAGAUUUAGGAUGUUCUGGGAACAAUCUUAAUGCUGGAACUGUUUUCAGCUGGCCUGUUGCUGUGGUGUCACACACUGACUUCAGACCAUACCCUGCAGUGGCUGUUUGUUCAAUGCACUUUAUGUCAAUGAGGCUUUGUCUGCAGCAAGCACCUAGUUGUACAUCUUGCUUUUCAUUUGUCUUCUUAAAGAGUAUUCACAUGCUUUUGUUUCCUUAGCAUGACUGAGAAAUAGAGGACCUCAAUGCAGAUAGGAAUAUUUUAUUUUGGGUUAAUUCAUAUUUUGCUUUUUGAGAUUUCAGGUAACAUUGUCAAUGAUUAAUGUGCCAACAUCUUACACGAAAUUUAUAAGGACAGUAAAUAUUCGUCAGGGUGCUUUAUGACUGGUUUUUAACAGCACAGAGAUAAGGCAUUAUUUUGGAUUACAUUUUUCUGUUCUCUUUCUGCUUCAAAAGGAAUCAGUAUUAUUAGACAAAGCUAAAUAAAAUAUUCACUCUUCUUA